rnacentral:rRNA from 1 species
CGAAUGCUGACAUAAGUAACGAUAAAGCGGGUGAAAAGCCCGCUCGCCGGAAGACCAAGGGUUCCUGUCCAACGUUAAUCGGGGCAGGGUGAGUCGACCCCUAAGGCGAGGCCGAAAGGCGUAGUCGAUGGGAAACAGGUUAAUAUUCCUGUACUUGGUGUUACUGCGAAGGGGGGACGGAGAAGGCUAUGUUGGCCGGGCGACGGUUGUCCCGGUUUAAGCGUGUAGGCUGGUUUUCCAGGCAA